AAAACAGUAACGUGUCCAUGUGAUGGUUUAAAGCAGUAAUAAUCAUGUCCGUGUGCGGGAUUAAAGCAGUACCAUCAGGUCCAUGUGCAGGAUGAAAACAGUAACAUCAUGUCCAUGUGCGGGAUUGACGCAAUAACACAUCCACGUGCGGGAUUAAAGCAAUAAAAUGCAUAUUUGCGGGAUUACAGAAGUAAUAAUCAUGUCUGUGUGUGGGAUUAAAGCUGUGGUUAACUUUAUGUCCAUGUGCGGGAUGAAAGCAGUAACAGUCAUGUCUGUGUGCGGGAUUAAAGCAGUAACUUCAUGUCCAUGUGCGGGAUGAAAGCAGUUAUAAUCAUGUCUGUGUGCGGGAUUUAAAGCAUAAUAAUCAUGUCUGUGUGCGGGAUUAAAGCAGUAACUUCAUGUCCAUGUGCGGGAGGAAAGCAGUUAUAAUCAUGUGCGUGAUUAAAGCAGUAACAUGUCCAUGUGAACGAUGAAAGCAGUAAUAAUCAUGUCCAUGUGCGGGAUUACAGCAGUAACUUCAUGUCCAACUUCAUAUAACAGAAGCACAUCUGAUCUAUGCAGAAGUUCUUGCUGUCCCUUUAACGCACGUGCGUCUGAAGCAGAGGACAGAAAAACAGCGUGUAGACCCCGCGCAGAGAAAUAUGAUCUAACAGAAGCACGGGAAUCACAGGCACGAGCGUGGAAAACUCAGGUGCAAGCACAAUUUCCUACUCAGAAGCUCUUUUGGAUAAAGCUGUGUUCUCUGUCCUGCUGUGCUCGACGACUUGUGAACUAAUCGCAGUAACGACGAGACACACCGUGGCUGUGUGCUGCAGUUCCAGCGUGAGAAAUGAGCUGCAGUAUCAUGUAGAUGUUACACAUUUGUUGUGUUUAUGAUUAACAGGGC
ensembl:lncRNA